rnacentral:rRNA from 1 species
AUUGAACGCUGGCGGCAGGCCUAACACAUGCAAGUCGAGCGGAUGAAGGGAGCUUGCUCCUGGAUUCAGCGGCGGACGGGUGAGUAAUGGCUAGGAAUCUGCCUGUUAGUGGGGGAUAACGUCCGGAAACGGGCGCUAAUACCGCAUACGUCCUGAGGGCGAACGUGGGGGAUCUUCGGACCUCACGCUAUCAGAUGAGCCUAGGUCGGAUUAGCUAGUUGGUGGGGUAAAGGCCUACCAAGGCGACGAUCCGUAACUGGUCUGAGAGGAUGAUCAGUCACACUGGAACUGAGACACGGUCCAGACUCCUACGGGAGGCAGCAGUGGGGAAUAUUGGACAAUGGGCGAAAGCCUGAUCCAGCCAUGCCGCGUGUGUGAAGAAGGUCUUCGGAUUGUAAAGCACUUUAAGUUGGGAGGAAGAGCAGUAAGUUAAUACCUUGCUGUUUUGACGUUACCAAAAGAAUAAGCACCGGCUAACUUCGUG